ACUCCUACGGGAGGCAGCAGUGGGGAAUAUUGCACAAUGGGCGCAAGCCUGAUGCAGCAACGCCGUGUGAGUGAAGAAGGUUUUCGGAUCGUAAAACUCUGUCCUAAGGGAAGAAACAAAUGACGGUACCUUAGGAGGAAGCCCCGGCUAACUACGUGCCAGCAGCCGCGGUAAUACGUAGGGGGCAAGCGUUAUCCGGAAUCACUGGGGCGUAAAGGGGUGCGUAGGCGGCUUAGCAAGCCAGGGGUGAAAGGCAUUGGCUCAACCAAUGUAAGCCUUUGGAACUGUUAAGCUUGAGUGCAGGAGAGGUAAGUGGAAUUCCUAGUGUAGAGGUGAAAUUCGUAGAUAUUAGGAGGAACACCAGUGGCGAAGGCGACUUACUGGACUGUAACUGACGCUGAUGCACGAAAGCGUGGGUAGCGAACAGGAUUAGAUACCCUGGUAGCACAGAG
rnacentral:rRNA from 1 species